rnacentral:rRNA from 1 species
CGGAGGAUCCAAGCGUUAUCCGGAAUCAUUGGGUUUAAAGGGUCCGUAGGCGGCUUUAUAAGUCAGUGGUGAAAUCCGGCAGCUCAACUGUCGAACUGCCAUUGAUACUGUAGGGCUUGAAUAAUUGUGAAGUAACUAGAAUAUGUAGUGUAGCGGUGAAAUGCUUAGAUAUUACAUGGAAUACCAAUUGCGAAGGCAGGUUACUAACAAUUCAUUGACGCUGAUGGACGAAAGCGUGGGGAGCGAACAGGAUU